AUGGACCGGCGGCCGGAGCUGCGGCGCGCCAUGACGCUCAAGGAGCAGCUCUCCACGCCCGCCGAACCGGCCAUCCGCGACUUCCUCAGGAUCCCGGACGACGACGACGACGAGGAAAGGCCGUGCACGCUCAUGGACGCCAUCGACCGGGACGUUCGAGGCGAGGGCGGGGCCGGCGGUGCGAUCAACUGGAGGCCGCUGCGCCACCGGCUCUGGCUCCGCCGCGCCGCGGGGGCGUGGCACGCGGCGGGGUCGGAGACCAAGCCUAGCGCUGCGGCGAGCCGUGCCGCCCCGAGAAGCAGCGGCAAGAGCAACUACACGUCCGGUGAGGCGUCCGCCGCCUUCUCCCGCGCGCCGUCGCUUCGCGCCGUGGUCGACGACGAGGGCGGCAGCGACGUCGAAGAGGAGGCGGAGGACAAUGAUUUGCCGCCGCCGGCCGCGGCGUCGACGUCCCUCAUGACGCUGAUGGAGCAGGCCGACGGCCACUGGGACGAAGCGGGCGAGGACGGCGGCGCGUCCCGGUGCGGCUCGGUCGAGGACAACGACGAGGACGGUCGCGGCGAGCGCCACGAAGAGGAAGAAGAGGAGGAGCUGCAGGUGUGCUGCGUGUGCAUGGUGCGGCACAAGGGCGCGGCCUUCAUCCCGUGCGGCCACACCUUCUGCCGCCUCUGCUCCCGCGAGCUCCGGCACACCCGCGGCAACUGCCCGCUCUGCAACGUCUUCAUCCAGGACAUCCUCCACAUCUUCUGA
rnacentral:rRNA from 1 species